UACAGAGGUGGCAAGCGUUGUUCGGAAUUACUGGGCGUAAAGGGCGCGUAGGCGGCCAUCUAAGUCAGACGUGAAAUCCCCCGGCUUAACCUGGGAACUGCGUCUGAUACUGGACGGCUGGAGUUUGGGAGAGGGAUGUAGAAUUCCAGGUGUAGCGGUGAAAUGCGUAGAUAUCUGGAGGAACACCGGUGGCGAAGGCGGCAUCCUGGACCGGCAUUGACGCUGAGGAGCGAAAGCCAGGGGAGCAAACGGG
rnacentral:rRNA from 1 species